CUUAUUAAAAUGAUUCGUUGCAAAUGGAAAUUCGCGCAAAAGUUCACGCAAUGUCAAGAUUAAUAGCAGGUGAGGUCCCACACAAUCAUUGUGGCCGCAUUCAUUAAAUUGUAAUUAUGAAGUCGAAGAUCUGUUUAUAGCUUCGUGAUUCAUCACUUUGGCCGAUAGCGUUCUGCUGGGCAGGAAGUGUAAUGAGUAAUAGUCUCCAUCAAGAGAAGGUCUAUCGGCGAAACUACUGAUCAUACGCCCAUUUGCCCACCCAUACGAUUCCCAACCAUUGUUUAAUUCGCUAUAUUCAAUUACUAGAUGUUUCGUACGCUCCAACAUUAUUUCCCCUACUCAUUCGAUUAAGUUGAACGAAAUAUCACAAUAGAGGCCUUCAAUACUGCGUCCGCGAGAUAAAGGAUCGCUCGACUACAAAGAAAUAAAUUCUAACCGUCCACAGUUUAGAACACAAGGCAAUGUUAUGUUCGCGAUGGCAUAUGAACACGUCGACGAGUUGGUAGAAAGCUUCAUUGCCAGUUCUGUCACGAUUCAAUCGUAUACGAAUAUAAGUAUAUGCGGUGAAGGCUGUUUACUGUCAUGCUAUAUCUUUUAUAGUAUUGAUAAAAAGAUUUGACAGAGAAAGUAAUAUAUAUAUAUAAAAUGAUAACAUAUUUACGAUUGUCGUGUCGGAAAAUAAUAUUCGCAAUACACGUAAACACGUUAUAUAGUAAAAUUAUUCACGAUGGAUAGCUGUUUUUAGAAUCAAACUUUGACAUGAAAAGACAGUUAUUCUAACCUAUAUGCGCGCGCGAGUAUUAUGUUAUGUAGGCACAUGUAGACGCGCGUGUAGUGACACCGUUUGUCGAUCGAAGAAUUUUCAGCCACAAAGAGAGAGAAAGAGAGAGAGCGACCGGAGGAUAAGGUCGCUGUUAAUGUUUCUACGUUUGAAUUCCAUCGACUCAUAUUCACGGUCAAAUGUUUCAGUAUAAAGGCAGAUUGUCGAACCGUGACGGAGCCCGCAUCGUACUCGGAAGGUCGACUUAACGUAAAAAGGUGUACUAACCUUGACGUCUUUCCUUCGCCAUGCAAGCAACUUGACCAAGAACUUUCAAACUAAUAACGAGUCCCGGCAUCAUACGCAUCAUGUCGAAAGAACACACGACAGCUAUGUAAAUACACCGAGAAUGUAUAAAUCUGUUAAAUCAGUUGACUAUAGUUAUGGCAGGGAUGGGUCGUUGACCAGUGCGCACUCUAUGGCUGAUACCGGCAUCUGUGGCAGAAUACUUCAAAACAAAGGGACACCGGUAUUUCAAAAAAGAAGAACACUUUCUUUUACGAAGUGUGUCAUUAAAUCCUUUUCAGAAUAUGAUUAUGACGUAGUAUUGGAUCAAUAAAGACACUUAAUAACAUCGGGAACGAAAGAGGAAAAACAAACACGUUUGAGCAAAGACCCACCCUAAACGCAAUGACGAGGAGGUUCGACGAUUCAGUGGAAAAUACGUACCGCGCCAGCGCCAUCCUGACAUGAGAUAAUCCAGGUCCCGUAGGUGUUGCGAGCAAGGUAUCCAGAUCUGGAAAGAAUGCUUUAUCGCCGACACUAAAUCCCACUGGACACAUGCGCGUAAAUUCCUCGUCCUCGAACACA